CAAAUGGCAGAGUCUUGGAUACAGGG
rnacentral:piRNA from 1 species